UACGUAGGGUGCGAGCGUUAAUCGGAAUUACUGGGCGUAAAGUGUGCGCAGGCGGCCGAGCAAGUCGAGUGUGAAAGCCCCGGGCUUAACUUGGGAAUUGCGCUCGAAACUACUUGGCUGGAGUGUGGCAGAGGAAGGUGGAAUUCCAGGUGUAGCGGUGAAAUGCGUAGAGAUCUGGAGGAACACCGAUGGCGAAGGCGGCAUCCUGGACCGGCAUUGACGCUGAGGAGCGAAAGCCAGGGGAGCAAACGGG
rnacentral:rRNA from 1 species